rnacentral:miRNA from 1 species
GGAUUUUGUGUGUGGACCUCAG